rnacentral:rRNA from 1 species
UACGGGGGGGGUAAGCGUUGUUCGGAAUUACUGGGCGUAAAGGGCUCGUAGGCGGCCAACUAAGUCGGACGUGAAAUCCCUCAGCUUAACCGUGGAACUGCUCGGUAUACUGGAUGUCUUGAGCCAGCUAGGGGCUACCGGAACAAAUGGUGGAGCGGUGAAAUGCGUAGAUAUCAUUUGGAACGCCAAUGGUGAAAACAGGUAGCUGGGGCUGAUGCUGACACUGGAGACACGAAAGCCAGGGGAGCGAACGGG